rnacentral:rRNA from 1 species
UGGGGAAUUUUGGACAAUGGACGCAAGUCUGAUCCAGCCAUGCCGCGUGCGGGAAGAAGGCCUUCGGGUUGUAAACCGCUUUUGUCAGGGAAGAAACGAGUUUCUCUAAUACAGAGACUUAAUGACGGUACCGUAAGAAUAAGCACCGGCUAACUACGUGCCAGCAGCCGCGGUAAUACGUAGGGUGCGAGCGUUAAUCGGAAUUACUGGGCGUAAAGCGUGCGCAGGCGGUUAUAUAAGACAGAUGUGAAAUCCCCGGGCUCAACCUGGGAACUGCCUUUGUGACUGCAUAGCUAGAGUACGGUAGAGGGGGAUGGAAUUCCGCGUGUAGCAGUGAAAUGCGUAGAUAUGCGGAGGAACACCGAUGGCGAAGGCAAUCCCCUGGACCUGUACUGACGCUCAUGCACGAAAGCGUGGGGAGCAAACA